CAGGUCAUCUUCUUGAAGAAAAGCUGUCAUGCUGGUGCUUGGGAUCUGCAAACACCUGGACGCUCUCAUUUAAAUGGCACACGGAUGUGCAGACAUAGACCAUAUCAUAAGGGCUGAGCACCCCAAUUCGGCAUCCAGCACCUUGAACAACCCAGAGCCCAGGCUGGAAAGGCAAUGGCUGAAGGUGGAACAGACAAGCAGAGACACUUGGCCACAUUCUCCCUCCUGACACAUCAUUCAACGGAAACUUUUUCAGAAACAACCACAACAAAAAUCAGUGGCUGAAACCUCACUGCCUGUGGCUGGACCACGGUGAGAUUUCAUACCCCAAGCAAGGUUGCGACCAGUAUUUAGUGAAGUUGGGUCACCUCCAAGAAAGCACAGAUCCAAGAAUUAUGUUGAACUUCCGGCUAGACAAAACUAAAGUUGCACUUUUUCUCCCCAAA